GGCCUCCGGCUGGGGCCACCCAGGCAACCGAUAUACACAGAGAACCACGUGGAGGAAAAGCACGCGAGUUUGGAGCGGGUGGAGCAGGAACAGAGGUGGACUGGAAUGUCACACGACGGGGCAGCUGGAAGGGCACCACUGAGUUCAGUACUUCAAAAUUGCCGUGCUCUACCUCUCCCCAGUGCACAAAAACACUCUCCACACCAAGCUGCUGCUGCUGGGGGAUGGAGGGAUGGCGUCAGCGAUUCAAGACUGUUUUUCCUACCUGUUCAGCACUUCUUUCAGCGAUAUGAAGUUAAAUCCAGGCCAAGUUCCCACCUGGUGGGAAGCACUGUGCAGGUUCGUGGGGAUGCAGCCCUGCACAGCCCAGACUGGACUCCUUCCCCAUGGAACUCACAACACACGGGAGAGGCAGAGAGAUCCAAGCGCACAGAAAAACACAAGAAGAUUCAGCCCUGUCAUCUUGUGCAAAUCCUCACUGUCCCCAGAAGGAAGAGAGGCACACAGCGCUCCCCAGCCGCUGGAAUCCAGGAAGAAUUGAGGUGCUCAAGACCCACCACCUCUUUGCCUGCAAACUCUAAGCUCACUGUCCUGCUCCCUUGCUCCCAGAAGUGGCACUGGAUGGAUCCCAUCCAGGUCAGCCCAGGCUGUCAUUUCCUCCCCUUCUGUACCUAAUCUCAGCGAGAUGAAGAGUUUACACCUGUUUCUCACUUGAAUUAGGGAAGUCUAGUUUGCAUUCUCCUGACUGGAUGGGCCUGCAUUGAAUCUUUCAUCUCAUUGGUCUGGGGAUUUGGUUCUGAAGACCAAUGCCUUCCAGAAUCUUCCUGUCUCUCCCCAAAUUCUGGGCGGUUCUGUUUCCAGCACUCAUCCAUGAUGGGGGGGUACAGGAAAUGAGUGUUGAGGGAAAGGCAUCCCACCUUCUCUCUGUUCCAUCUUCCAGAUCUGACAACUCACUGGAAAGUUCUUCUCUGUGUCCCUGUCCCCCGUCUGGUUCUGAGGCCGCUGCUUUCCCCAGCCUUGGUGCCUUGGGUUUUCUGCUCUGUGAAAUGAACCAGGUCCCUUAUCCUGUUCUCCCCUGAAGAAAAGAGGGUGUGGGGGGCUUGGCACAGGAAAUGGCCCUUGCCUUUCACAGGCUUUGGGGUCUGAGGGCAGCUCU